rnacentral:rRNA from 1 species
UCAGGAUGAACGCUAGCUACAGGCUUAACACAUGCAAGUCGAGGGGCAGCAUGAUCUGUGCUGCAACAGAUGAUGGCGACCGGCGCACGGGUGAGUAACGCGUAUCCAACCUUCCCCUUAGUAGGGCAUAGCCCGGCGAAAGUCGGAUUAAUACCCUAUGUUUUUCCAAUGAGGACAUCUGAGCUGGAAUAAAGAUUCAUCGCUAAGGGAUGGGGAUGCGUCCGAUUAGGUUGUUGCGGGGUAACGGCCCACCAAGCCUUCGAUCGGUAGGGGUUCUGAGAGGAAGGUCCCCCACACUGGUACUGAGACACGGACCAGACUCCUACGGGAGGCAGCAGUGAGGAAUAUUGGUCAAUGGGCGAGAGCCUGAACCAGCCAAAAGUAGCGUGCAGGAUGACGGCCCUAUGGGUUGUAAACUGCUUUUAUACGGGGAUAAAGUGAGGGACGUGUCCCUUAUUGUAGGUACCGUAUGAAUAAGGACCGGCUAAUUCCGUGCCAGCCGCGGC